rnacentral:miRNA from 1 species
CUCCAGACGUUGCUGAACUACAACUCUCAUGAUUCUCAGCCUAUCUAUUUCAUUCAGAGAAUAAUGGGAAUUGUAGUUCAGCAACAUCUGGAG